rnacentral:lncRNA from 1 species
UGGAAACGGAAAACACAUUUUUUCUCUUCUUUCGUCGUUUCAUUUCCUCGCAAAAAUUUUGUCAAUAGCACUUAUAACGAAAUAUUGGUAAUAUUAAAAAUACAUUUUGUCACUCGCUUGGCGUUUGAGGUACACUUUUGAGAUCACGGGUAUUAGUCCACCACAUAUGACCAGGUUGUUGGUCACCUCUGUCAUAUUAGUUAGUUUCUGG